rnacentral:tRNA from 1 species
GUCCCCGUGGCACAAUAGGAUAGCGCAAUCCCCUCCUAAGGGAUAGGUUACAGGUUCGAUUCCUGUCGGGGACGCCA